AUUGAACGCUGGCGGCAGGCCUAACACAUGCAAGUCGAACGAGUGGCGGACGGGUGAGUAAUGUCUGGGAAACUGCCUGAUGGAGGGGGAUAACUACUGGAAACGGUAGCUAAUACCGCAUACCAUCAGAUGUGCCCAGAUGGGCUUAGCUAGUGGGUGGGGUACAGGCUCGCCAAGGCGACGAUCCCUAGCUGGUCUGAGAGGAGGACCAGCCAAACGGGAACUGAGACGCGGUCCAGAGUCCUACGGGAGGCAGCAGUGGGGAAUAUUGCACAAUGGGCGCAAGCCUGAUACAGCCAUGCCGCGUGUAUGAAGAAGGCCUUCGGGUUGUAAAGUACUUUCAGCGGGGAGGCGUUACCCGCAGAAGAAGCACCGGCUAACUCCGUGCCAGCAGCCGCGGUAAUAC
rnacentral:rRNA from 1 species